rnacentral:lncRNA from 1 species
AAUGGUAGCGUUAUUCACACAUCUUUUUUUACCUCUCACCACAUCCUUAUUAUUUUUUGUUCAUUAAUUUUUUUUUCAAUUCAUUCAUUCUGACGAUCGAAAAUUAAAAGGAGGGAUGUGAGAGAGAGAAAUUAGUAUGCAAAUAGCAUCACCUACACCUAUAAGAAAAACAACUACUUAUGGAUAUUACCUCUACCAACAUGACUUUAUAUAUAUACAGUACUUUGACAGUGCAUGGGUACAAUAUUAAUGCUGCCCAAACAAAUUAAUUCCACCAAAUUAAUUGAUAAAUACACCUUCCAGAUUUAAUCUUUCAAUAUUUUUAAUGGACCACAAACCUACCAAUUAUUUCAUUUCAGUACGAACUUACUCUUCAACAUGACACACACACACACACACACACACACAUAUAUAUAUAUAUAUACACACACACACACACAUAUAGAAGUACAGCUAAAUUGUUACAAGAUUGCGUGCCUAAUUUCUUCCAUUCAAACAUUAAUUAAUUUCAUAGAGUUCCCACCAAAUCAUGCUAUAUAAUCAUAAUAAAACACUUUGCAUGCAUGCAUGCAUGUCCAGUUCUACAUGCAUUCGGUAUUACUGAGAUUUAUAACUUCAGUGAUAUGACACCUUAUAUUAUCCCGAUUCAAGAAUCUAGCUCGUUAUUCUCAUUCUUCUAAUAAAUAAAAUAAAGGUUUUUAUUUUUUUUUUAUCAUUAAUGUGUGCCUCACUUAUAAUUCGAAUCUCCAAACUGCCAAACAGAGCACCCCCAUUAAUGGAUUCAAAAAGUGAUUUCUUUUGGGUAUUAUCGACGUGGCAUCAAAAUAUUGGUUGUGCGGGAUCUCUAUGUGUCAAGCGAACAAAUUAACAGACAAUUUAACGGAUUUAUACAACAAAGAUUACAUUAAUGUGAGAUAGUUAAAUUCAAAAGUGAUAUUGAUAGAUUUUCAAGUUGAGAGACCAAAAUCACGAAUUAGGUCAAAUAAGCUUAUAAGCCAGGAAACAAUAACAAAUUUGCUGUGUUUCUAUGUCUCCUCCAGAAUAUAACCCCUGCAAAUGUGAAAGUGACCUGGUCGGUCGAUACGACAUGGAUGAGAGUGGAGUGAUCAUACCCCCCGCCCCACCCUUCAAGCUUAAUUCCAUGCUGUUGGAUUUACUAAUUAAGACAAAUAGGUUGUCACCUGGUACCCAAGAGACAGAAAAUUUUAAAGUCGCACAUGUAGGACCGUCAACCCUUAUCGCAUUAAUAUUUUAUGUUUACUAUAUAUAUAUAUAUAUGAAAGAAUGUCAUGUGCAGCUUGAUCCAAUGGUGGAGGUGUUGCCAACGAUGCCAACGAAUUGAGAAAAGGGUAGGCUUGGCCCUUGGAUUGUUGACUUUCUCCUUCGUGAUCGAAACUAUGGAAAGCAAUGACCAGGAGCUGCGGAUAUCUGGGCGAUCUGUGCUGGCAUUGGAUUGCGUUCUUGCAUUUCUGGUUUCUAAUUCUCUUUCUAAU